rnacentral:rRNA from 1 species
AUUGAACGCUGGCGGCAUGCCUUACACAUGCAAGUCGAACGGCAGCACGGACUUCGGUCUGGUGGCGAGUGGCGAACGGGUGAGUAAUGUAUCGGAACGUACCUUUCAGUGGGGGAUAACGUAGCGAAAGUUACGCUAAUACCGCAUAUUCUGUGAGCAGGAAAGCAGGGGAUCGCAAGACCUUGCGCUGAUUGAGCGGCCGAUAUCAGAUUAGCUAGUUGGUGAGGUAAAGGCUCACCAAGGCGACGAUCUGUAGCGGGUCUGAGAGGAUGAUCCGCCACACUGGAACUGAGACACGGUCCAGACUCCUACGGGAGGCAGCAGUGGGGAAUUUUGGACAAUGGGGGCAACCCUGAUCCAGCCAUGCCGCGUGAGUGAAGAAGGCCUUCGGGUUGUAAAGCUCUUUCGGCCGGGAAGAAAUCGCAUGGGCUAAUACCCUGUGCGGAUGACGGUACCGGCAUAAGAAGCACCGGCUAACCUACGUG